GACGAACGCUGGCGGCGUGCCUAAUACAUGCAAGUCGAACGCAGUUGCGAACGGGUGAGUAACGCGUAGGUAACUGCCUGGUAGCGGGGGAUAACUAUUGGAAACGAUAGCUAAUACCGCAUACUACCAGAAGGACCUGCGUUGUAUUAGCUAGUUGGUGAGGUAACGGCUCACCAAGGCAACGGUACAUAGCCGACCGGAGAGGGUGGUCGGCCAAACAGGGACUGGGGAAAGGCCCAGACUCCUACCGGAGGGAGCAGUAGGGAAUCUUCGGAAAUGGGGGGAACCCUGACCGAGCAACGCCGCGUGAGUGAAGAAGGUUUUCGGAUCGUAAAGCUCUGUUGUUAAGGAAGCGGUACUUAACCAGGAAGGGACGGCUAACUACGUGCCAGCAGCCGCGGUAAUUC
rnacentral:rRNA from 1 species